UUUAAAUGAAUAUCUAUACGAAAUUGCUUAGUUACAUCAUUUUCUAUAUUAAAAACAUAAACUAGUAAAAAGCACUGCGAAAAAUCAUAAUAAAGAAUACUAAGAAUCAAGCUUUCGAUAUAAUGGGACGUUAUCUGAGCCCAAACUCACAACCGUUCCAUGGUCAUGCAAUAAUAAUUUUAAAUUUGGUGGCUUCUGGUUUUCGUAAGUAUUCAUUGCAGUCAACCAAAGACGUUGCAUAUCAUAAAAUAAGGUCUCUGGAGGAAGGUUUACACACCCUCCAUUGUAGCUGUCAAUCACAACGUCAAUAGCUUGUUUUGGUAAGUAGUGAUGCUUUUCGUUAACAUACAGAGCCUUAAUAAUAUCUAUAAAGGUUUCUCUAAUACGAGUAGUGUUAUGAUGGCGUACAACUGCACUUUUAUGAACAGAUUUUUUUCCAGACCUUAUAGCCAGUCGGAUUGGCGUUUGAGAAUAAUCUAACUUAGGAAAGCGGUAUGACCUGUUGUUUAAAAAUUCAUGAAAAGGAAUUAACCAAGCUCUUGGUAUACAGUACAAAGUCAUAUAUUUAGUUCUGGCCAAUUUUUGAGUAGCCCUGAUAAUUUGCAUUUCUUCUUGGCUUAUUUUUUCCUUGGACAAAUAUCCCAAACUAAUAGAGUGAGAAGAUUUGGGUCUGAGAUGUGGUUGUAUAUAUUGAACAAGAUACUCAAAGUUUCUUUUCAAAUUAGAGGUCAUUCUUUUAGCGUUUAACAAUUUCGUACUAUUAAAUUUGCACUCUCUUUUGGAUGAUCAUUUUUAAUCCUGUGUGAAUUUAUUCAAUCUAUUAUACAAACCAAAAAAUUUGGUUGUUAUCAAUAUGGGCGGUGUGAGUAAAAGAACACUAUUUCAAUGUUCUCUGGGCGUUUGCAAAGAAAUGCAGUAAGCGUUGGAUAUUUGAAGGAACUGAUAUAUUUUGAAACAGUAGUUGGUCACUUCACACUACACAAUUGUACAUACUAGUAAAUUCUAGGACCUCAAUGGUAAUUGGGUGGGUUUAAUG